rnacentral:tRNA from 2 species
GCCCUCGUAGUUCAAUGGAUAGAACAAAUUUCUCCUAAGAAUUUGAUGUCAGUUCGAUUCUGGCCGAGGGCACCA